rnacentral:lncRNA from 1 species
AACCUUCUUUGAUCCAAAUCAAAUUCAACUUGAUCAAAGAUCAAGUGAAUUGCUUUCUGUCCAAGAUAGGUUGCUUCUUGGUCAAGCAAAAAACCUGAAAUCCAUACAAGGUAUUUCUUCUUUUCUUUUGGCAUGGCAAGUUGUAGGAUCUUGGCUUACUAGUCAUGAUCUCUAACUUGUGUUUAUUUGCCUAUAGUUUUA